AACGAACGCUGGCGGCAUGCCUAACACAUGCAAGUCGAACGAGAUCCUUCGGGGUCUAGUGGCGCACGGGUGCGUAACGCGUGGGAAUCUGCCCUUAGGUUCGGAAUAACAGUUAGAAAUGACUGCUAAUACCGGAUGAUGACGUUAAGUCCAAAGAUUUAUCGCCUGAGGAUGAGCCCGCGUAGGAUUAGCUAGUUGGUGUGGUAAAGGCGCACCAAGGCGACGGUCCUUAGCUGGUCUGAGAGGAUGAUCAGCCACACUGGGACUGAGACACGGCCCAGACUCCUACGGGAGGCAGCAGUGGGGAAUAUUGGACAAUGGGCGCAAGCCUGAUCCAGCAAUGCCGCGUGAGUGAUGAAGGCCUUAGGGUUGUAAAGCUCUUUUACCCGAGAUGAUAAUGACAGUAUCGGGAGAAUAAGCCCCGGCUAACUCCGUG
rnacentral:rRNA from 1 species